GGAGGAGUGGUGGGAACCACCCUUUAGAAGAGGACGUACUGAUUAGAAAGGAGCUGGGAAGAAUACAGCUGCCUGAAAGCUGACAAGCCCUAGAGAUGGUCUCCCUUUAUUUCUCUUCCAUAGCUGCUGAGUUUACACCUUGGACAUGGCUACCUUUACCACCACCACCUCUGGACCCAUGAAAUUGGUGCUUCUUCUAAACUUUCCAGGCUUUCAACUCUUGUUUAUUCCCAGUUUUCCCGAGGAUGACUCUGGCUGCCCUGACAGCCCCACCACAGGGGACAGCAGCAUUUAUUUGACUUGACUAGGAUUGGAACUUCCAGUGAUCUACAAUCUCCAUAUGAUCUCUGUUUCUACAAGGAAGCACCUUCUCCAUGAAUAUUAUGCACUUAGUUAAACUGAGCCAUGGAAAGCCAAUCAUUCAUUCAACAAAUAUGUACAGAGUGUCAAUAAUGUACCAGGCAAGAAACAAGGAGCUGCGCUCUUUCUUCAAGGAAUCCAUAGUUCUAUCAGUAGAAGGAAUAAAAUAUUCUAAGUGUCUUUGUAGUAGAUUGAAUUAUCAUUUCACAAAUAUUCCCUCUCCCGUCUCACUCUCCUCUUCCCUGCCCCAUUGAUUUAGGACCUGACUAUGUAAAAUACUUUGGCCCAUAAAAUGUGGGCAGAAAUGAUAACAUGCCAGUUUCAAGUGAAGC
rnacentral:lncRNA from 1 species